AGUCGAACGAUGAUCCCAGCUUGCUGGGGGAUUAGUGGCGAACGGGUGAGUAACACGUGAGUAACCUGCCCUUGACUCUGGGAUAAGCCUGGGAAACUGGGUCUAAUACCGGAUACGACCAUCUGGCGCAUGUCAUGGUGGUGGAAAGCUUUUGUGGUUUUGGAUGGACUCGCGGCCUAUCAGCUUGUUGGUGGGGUAAUGGCCUACCAAGGCGACGACGGGUAGCCGGCCUGAGAGGGUGACCGGCCACACUGGGACUGAGACACGGCCCAGACUCCUACGGGAGGCAGCAGUGGGGAAUAUUGCACAAUGGGCGCAAGCCUGAUGCAGCGACGCCGCGUGAGGGAUGACGGCCUUCGGGUUGUAAACCUCUUUCAGUAGGGAAGAAGCGUAAGUGACGGUACCUGCAGAAGAAGCGCCGGCUAACUACGUGCCAGCAGCCGCGGUAAUACGUAGGGCGCAAGCGUUAUCCGGAAUUAUUGGGCGUAAAGAGCUCGUAGGCGGUUUGUCGCGUCUGCUGUGAAAGACCGGGGCUCAACUCCGGUUCUGCAGUGGGUACGGGCAGACUAGAGUGCAGUAGGGGAGACUGGAAUUCCUGGUGUA
rnacentral:rRNA from 1 species